rnacentral:misc_RNA from 1 species
UCUUUUCUUUUGAUAGGAGAGUUUUUAAAACCAGUGUUAUUUUUGUAAGUUUAAGAGAAGUUUGUGUAUUGAAUUUUUAAUAUUAAAGAGCUUUGUUAAACUUAGACUUAAGUUUAGGUCAUUUUGGGGGUUUAGCUCAGUUGGCUAGAGCAUCGGCUUUGCAAGCCGAGGGUCAAGGGUUCGAGUCCCUUAACCUCCAUUGGGCUUAUGUCCUAAAUUGUAAUUAAGUAUGUUUUUAAGCAACUUUAUUAAAGUAAUUGUUGGAAUGUGAAACAGAGGAAGUUAAAAUUUCUGGGUUAAGUUGAGAUCUGUUGAUAUUAAGAAGAAUCUCUAGAAGCAAAAGCAAGCUUUCGAUAAAACCCGAAGUUGUUUCGCUAAAGUGCAAGGAUUAAACAGGAUUGUAUUUUCCAGCAGCCUAUUUUAUAAACGAUCUGCAUUUAGUAAAUAGUUUUUAGUUAGGAAAUAAUGUAUAUUGCUAAGUGUGAUGUCUGAAAGAAGGACAAGUAUUGUAGCGAGCCUAAAUCCUUGUUAUCGUUGCCAGUAUUUAGUGGUAGGGAUUCGGAUAAGACUGCUAUUUAUAAGUUGGAGGAAGGCAAAGAUUGCAUCAAAUCGUUAUCGCUCUUAUGUUUUAGGUUACAAGUUUGCCACAAUAACC